AGCGAACGCUGGCGGCAGGCUUAACACAUGCAAGUCGAACGGAUCCUUCGGGAUUAGUGGCGGACGGGUGAGUAACACGUGGGAACGUGCCUUUAGGUUCGGAACAACACAGGGAAACUUGUGCUAAUACCGGAUAAGCCCUUCGGGGAAAGGAUUUAUCGCCUUUAGAGCGGCCCGCGUCUGAUUAGCUUGUUGGUGAG
rnacentral:rRNA from 1 species